CCCGAGGCGGUGGAAUCCGAAGGGGUAGCAGAUCCCGAUGCACAGUCAGGAGGCACCCAGAAUAUCAAUCUUAUGCAUGCCUACAAUAAGUUUCAAUGAGUUCAAUUGGACCUGUUCCCAGGUAAAUGGUUAUUAUAUUAUAGCUGCAUUUUGCAA